rnacentral:lncRNA from 1 species
UUAGGAAGAGGUAAGUUUGAUGUUAUUCCAUGAAAUUCAUGCAUAUUUUUAGUUGUUAGUUUGAAUUCUACCUAGCCCAUGGUUUAAAUCUUUGCUAUUUGAUGGAGAUGAUACUCGGCCAUGGAUGUUGUCUUUCUUGGUUGGUGUUUGAUGUUGUGUUGAUGAGGUAUGAAGAUGAUAGAGUUUGAGUGCUUAACGAAAAGGAUUGGAUGUGAGUGUGUGUGAGAAUUUGAAAAGGAUGGGUCUUAGCAACUUCAUGAAGUGUUCGGC